rnacentral:rRNA from 1 species
GGUUAAGUUAGAAAGGGCGCACGGUGGAUGCCUUGACACUAGGAGUCGAUGAAGGACGGGACUAACGCCGAUAUGCUUCGGGGAGCUGUAAGUAAGCUUUGAUCCGAAGAUUUCCGAAUGGGGAAACCCACCAUACGUAAUGGUAUGGUAUCCUUAUCUGAAUACAUAGGGUAAGGAAGACAGACCCAGGGAACUGAAACAUCUAAGUACCUGGAGGAAGAGAAAGCAAAUGCGAUUUCCUGAGUAGCGGCGAGCGAAACGGAACAUAGCCCAAACCAAGAGGCUUGCCUCUUGGGGUUGUAGGACAUUCUAUACGGAGUUACAAAGGAACGAGGUAGACGAAGCGACCUGGAAAGGUCCGUCGUAGAGGGUAACAACCCCGUAGUCGAAACUUCGUUCUCUCUUGAAUGUAUCCUGAGUACGGCGGAACACGUGAAAUUCCGUCGGAAUCUGGGAGGACCAUCUCCCAAGGCUAAAUACUCCCUAGUGAUCGAUAGUGAACCAGUACCGUGAGGGAAAGGUGAAAAGCACCCCGGAAGGGGAGUGAAAGAGAUCCUGAAACCGUGUGCCUACAAAUAGUCAGAGCCCGUUAACGGGUGAUGGCGUGCCUUUUGUAGAAUGAACCGGCGAGUUACGAUCCCGUGCGAGGUUAAGCUGAAGAGGCGGAGCCGCAGCGAAAGCGAGUCUGAAUAGGGCGUUUAGUACGUGGUCGUAGACCCGAAACCAGGUGAUCUACCCAUGUCCAGGGUGAAGUUCAGGUAACACUGAAUGGAGGCCCGAACCCACGCACGUUGAAAAGUGCGGGGAUGAGGUGUGGGUAGCGGAGAAAUUCCAAUCGAACCUGGAGAUAGCUGGUUCUCCCCGAAAUAGCUUUAGGGCUAGCCUUAAGUGUAAGAGUCUUGGAGGUAGAGCACUGAUUGGACUAGGGGUCCUCAUCGGAUUACCGAAUUCAGUCAAACUCCGAAUGCCAAUGACUUAUCCUUAGGAGUCAGACUGCGAGUGAUAAGAUCCGUAGUCAAAAGGGAAACAGCCCAGACCGCCAGCUAAGGUCCCAAAGUGUGUAUUAAGUGGAAAAGGAUGUGGAGUUGCUUAGACAACUAGGAUGUUGGCUUAGAAGCAGCCACCAUUUAAAGAGUGCGUAAUAGCUCACUAGUCGAGUGACUCUGCGCCGAAAAUGUACCGGGGCUAAAUACACCACCGAAGCUGCGGAUUGAUACCGAAUGGUAUCAGUGGUAGGGAGCGUUCUAAGGACAGUGAAGUCAGACCGUAAGGACUGGUGGAGUGCUUAGAAGUGAGAAUGCCGGUAUGAGUAGCGAAAGACGGGUGAGAAUCCCGUCCACCGAAUGCCUAAGGUUUCCUGAGGAAGGCUCGUCCGCUCAGGGUUAGUCAGGACCUAAGCCGAGGCCGACAGGCGUAGGCGAUGGACAACAGGUUGAUAUUCCUGUACCACCUCUUUAUCGUUUGAGCAAUGGAGGGACGCAGAAGGAUAGAAGAAGCGUGCGAUUGGUUGUGCACGUCCAAGCAGUUAGGCUGAUAAGUAGGCAAAUCCGCUUAUCGUGAAGGCUGAGCUGUGAUGGGGAAGCUCCUUAUGGAGCGAAGUCUUUGAUUCCCCGCUGCCAAGAAAAGCUUCUAGCGAGAUAAAAGGUGCCUGUACCGCAAACCGACACAGGUAGGCGAGGAGAGAAUCCUAAGGUGUGCGAGAGAACUCUGGUUAAGGAACUCGGCAAAAUGACCCCGUAACUUCGGGAGAAGGGGUGCUUUCUUAACGGAAAGCCGCAGUGAAUAGGCCCAAGCGACUGUUUAGCAAAAACACAGCUCUCUGCGAAGCCGUAAGGCGAAGUAUAGGGGGUGACACCUGCCCGGUGCUGGAAGGUUAAGGAGAGGGGUUAGCGUAAGCGAAGCUCUGAACUGAAGCCCCAGUAAACGGCGGCCGUAACUAUAACGGUCCUAAGGUAGCGAAAUUCCUUGUCGGGUAAGUUCCGACCCGCACGAAAGGUGUAACGAUUUGGGCACUGUCUCAACCAGAGACUCGGUGAAAUUAUAGUACCUGUGAAGAUGCAGGUUACCCGCGACAGGACGGAAAGACCCCGUGGAGCUUUACUGUAGCCUGAUAUUGAAUUUUGGUACAGUUUGUACAGGAUAGGCGGGAGCCAUUGAAACCGGAGCGCUAGCUUCGGUGGAGGCGCUGGUGGGAUACCGCCCUGACUGUAUUGAAAUUCUAACCUACGGGUCUUAUCGACCCGGGAGACAGUGUCAGGUGGGCAGUUUGACUGGGGCGGUCGCCUCCUAAAGUGUAACGGAGGCGCCCAAAGGUUCCCUCAGAAUGGUUGGAAAUCAUUCGUAGAGUGCAAAGGCAUAAGGGAGCUUGACUGCGAGACCUACAAGUCGAGCAGGGACGAAAGUCGGGCUUAGUGAUCCGGUGGUUCCGCAUGGAAGGGCCAUCGCUCAACGGAUAAAAGCUACCCCGGGGAUAACAGGCUUAUCUCCCCCAAGAGUCCACAUCGACGGGGAGGUUUGGCACCUCGAUGUCGGCUCAUCGCAUCCUGGGGCUGUAGUCGGUCCCAAGGGUUGGGCUGUUCGCCCAUUAAAGCGGUACGCGAGCUGGGUUCAGAACGUCGUGAGACAGUUCGGUCCCUAUCCGUCGUGGGCGUAGGAAAUUUGAGAGGAGCUGUCCUUAGUACGAGAGGACCGGGAUGGACGCACCGCUGGUGUACCAGUUGUUCUGCCAAGGGCAUAGCUGGGUAGCUAUGUGCGGAAGGGAUAAGUGCUGAAAGCAUCUAAGCAUGAAGCCCCCCUCAAGAUGAGAUUUCCCAUAGCGUAAGCUAGUAAGAUCCCUGAAAGAUGAUCAGGUUGAUAGGUUCGAGGUGGAAGCAUGGUGACAUGUGGAGCUGACGAAUACUAAUAGAUCGAGGACUUAACCAU